UACGGAGGGGGCUAGCGUUGUUCGGAAUUACUGGGCGUAAAGCGCACGUAGGCGGCUUUGCAAGUCAGAGGUGAAAGCCCGGGGCUCAACCCCGGAAUAGCCUUUGAGACUGCAUCGCUAGAAUUGUGGAGAGGUAAGUGGAAUUCCGAGUGUAGAGGUGAAAUUCGUAGAUAUUCGGAAGAACACCAGUGGCGAAGGCGACUUACUGGACACAUAUUGACGCUGAGGUGCGAAAAGCGUGGGGAGCAAACAGG
rnacentral:rRNA from 1 species